GGUGGCAAUUUGUUAGACGAUUCAGGAGGAGUAGGAUCCCUCCAGAAGGACAAGUUGGAGCUGGGUGUUCCAAGCAGAGAACUUUGUUUCUCCAUUAGCCCGUUUUGUUUCUGAAUAUCUCCAGAUGCUGAUUUUCCUCUUGGAGUUUGGUGCUCAGGACUGAAUUGUGUUUCUUGUGCUCUGGCCAGCACAGAGAGAAGAAUACCAGCCCUUCCACUCUUCUAUCGCAUGGGCUUUUGGCCCUAGGUAUACACUGGAAUCACCUGGAGAGCUUUUAAAGCAGAGUGAUGCUCAGGGCUCUACCUGUAGAGGUUCUUAUUCAGUUAAUCUGCCUUUAGCACUUUAAAAACUUCUCCUUCUCUGCUCCCCAAGUGAUUCUGAUAUGCAGCCAGAGUAAAGAUAAACUGGCUUAGAUCUUAUAUAGGCAUCAAACACAGGCAUCUGAAAAGAUCAGAGGUUUUCCUAGCUUCAGGUCCAGCUUGAUCCAGCAGCUCAGUGAUCUAAUCAAGGUUUCAGUUUUCUGGCCGAAGCCACUUGAACAACCCUUGGAGUCCAAGCCCCUCAGCAGGCAGUUCCGGCCACCUCUUCAUCUCUGUAUCCCCAGCUGUACCACAUGAGACGCCAGACUUUCUACACCAGAGGGUCUUGAGAGUGUUGUGAAGGAAGGUGUUGUGAAGCACGUCAUCUCAAAGAGGAAAUGUUUGUUAAAUGGAUGACGGACUGAAGCAUCUGAGGACCCGACUGUCCCAUCAAUAGCACACAGUUUAGAAGAGGAGAUGGUGGGGACCCCGGGACUCUGAGACAAACAUACCUCGAACUUCACGGAGCCUGUCUGGGUGGUGUCGAAGGCGUGGAAGAGGUAAUGGGCAUACAUGCUGGCAUCUGAAAGGCACAGAAGGAAAGGCAGGUGACGGGAGCCGGGGCUUCACAGAGGGAAGGGAGAAUGCUUGGAAACAAUAAGGAAGAGAAGAGGGUGCUGCUGGGGUGAUGGAAAGGAGGAAAGGCAGUGUGGGCAAGCCCACUGUGUAAACAGGGACCCAUGUGGCUGUCCUGGAUUUUAGGUGGAAAGUUCUUAGGACAAAGACAAGCCCUCACCCCUACAUCUAGCCAUCCCCGGAGGAAGACCCUCCCGCUGGUUCACAUGGGUAAUUCUUGGUGGGUGAGUGACGUGGCAACUGUGGGAAGAAGGCGCCCUUCUGAGUGAUGUGCAAUGCCAUGGAGUGAGUACUCACUAGGGAGCAGACAGACCUGGGCUUGGCUAGCAGCUCUCUCCCUAUGUAGCUGUGUGAACAGGCAUCGAGCAGAACCUCUCUGAGCUCCUCUUUCCUGUCUCUGUACAAAGGGAUGUAGCAAAACCUAUCUCUUGGAAUUUUUGAAAAAGUAUGUUAAACUUUUAACAUAGUCACAUCAUCUUAACCAUCACCAUUCCUGCCAAAUGGUCAAAACUCAAUAAACUGUGGCUCAACAGAAUUCAACAGCAGUGGUUCUGGGGUCUUCAUGGGGUGAAGCUGCUCCCCAACUUGCAGAGGGGCCCUGUACGGGGUCCCACACUUAGGAGGGCCCCAUCUGUGCCAAAGAGGCCCAUGAGAGACAGAGCUCAAGAAAUGUUUGGGACACUUGGAUCUCCAUUUCAUCAGGACCCAGGGAAGGGAUCCUGCAGGAGAUAGCUCCUGGGGGCAGGAAGUGAAGUGGCACAUGACUCAU